UGAAGGAAGGUACUAGCUCUCU
rnacentral:piRNA from 1 species